CAAACCAGCAUUUCAUCUCCGAGGAAGUUAUCCCAGAGAGAAGUAAAGCAAGUGUUAUUUUGGACAUGAUUUUGGAGUCCAUCUUCGCAGUAGCGAUUGACUGCAAAAUAAAGCUACCGGAAAUGUACAACUCUACAGCUGUGUCCGCAUUCAGGGGAAGGAUGCUCCGAAGGACAUAUUUGGAGGCAAUGACAUCACAGCGACACGACGAAGGCUGUCCGAAUUCAAAGAGUCCUUCAAAUGUGGCGACAAAUGCAUCCUACUUUUCCCCAAAUUUUAAGGAUGGGUCUGAUGUAUCCUUCGUGUCCUACCAUAUCCCAGGAUUCAUUGUGGGGUAUACAGGAGAUUUUUUUUCUGAUAAUGAUGGUGGUUGAAGUGGGAGAGGAAAACACUUUCAAAUGUAAGUAUAUGAAAAUCUGGUUGUACAAAAGUUAAAUUGUUAUAGCGGUUGUGUUUUUAAGCUAUGGGCAUCUGCAUAGACAUGUUUUAAAAAAAAAAAAAAUUUAAAUAACCCUAAACUAUAUACUGAUUUUUUCGAAUUAAUCGUUAUGGUGAUAUGUUGUGGGGAACAAAGACCAAACGGCUCAAUUUAUUAAAACGAGGAGAAAACCAUCACCUCUUCACUGGGGUGAAGAGUUGGGCCACUGUGGCGUGGAGGUACAAGAAUAAAUCAAUUUACACAUCAUAUUCAUAUGAGUAUGGUUUUAUUAACCCUCAUGCUGUACCCAACCUUUUUUUGCGCCAUGGACCGGUUUAAUGCGCCCCGGUCGCUAUGGUAACGUGUAAAUAUUUCUUUCAAACUAAGACACACAACUACAACACAGGAAAAGACCCAGAGAACGAUACAAACCCGGAAAACCAUAAAUUUCACACCAGAGCCUCAACUGUCGUGGCCCGAUACCAAACGACUAUGGGACCGACAGGACGAUACUGGAGAUGGGCCUGCAGGGGAAAGUCACCCCCUUGCAGGCCAGAAGACAUGGGAUAACUUUAAAAAAUACAAAGAUUGCAAGUAUCCAGGGUCAGGACAGGGAGUCAGUGGGAAGCCCACUGCUGCUACUUGUCCCUGGUUUGCCCUCAUGGAUGAGGUAAUAGGACAGAGGCCUUCCAUUAGGUCUCCUGUCCAAAUUUCCUCUCUCCCUGAGGACACUCCAGGGCCAAGCGCAGCAGUGGGUGACCAAAACGAAAGCGAGGAGGAAGAGAGUGAGCCACCCACAACAGGGAGGAACAGGAGAAGAGACAGGGCUGAUGAGCUGCUAGACCUCAUCAGAGAGGACAUGAGGAAGCAAAGGGAGGCUGAGGAGAGGAGAGCGCAGGAGAGCAGGCAGAGGAUGGACACACUGUUUUCAGUUCUUGAAAGAUUGGUUCCAAAAUGAGUUAUGCAUUAAGAUACUUAUUUAUUUGAAUAUAUUUGUUACAUUGUUAUAUGUGUUGCAUUAU